GGGUGGGUCCUACCUAGACCAGGCUGAUCCUGGACCAUCCCACAGAUGCUCAAUCAGAUCUGGAUGUGGGGAGUGUGGAACCCAGAUGUUCAGAGGGAGAUGAUACCACAUCUGGUCCAGCUGAUGGAAGGUCUUGAAGUUCUCUGACUGGCCUCGACUGAAGAUGGUCGUCUCACUGGAUUUAAGGUUCAGAUGCUCAGUAACAAACUCCACCAAUGUGCCAACAGGGAAGCUUUAGGUUUAUUAAAUGUUGCUAUGAAGGUUUUGCUGUUUUUCUUUGUGAAUGCAAUGUGCUCCAACUGAAACUUGAAUUAGAACUUAGAAGUAAAUCCUUCCAUCUGAAACGAUUUAGUUGCAUUAAUAACCUCAUAACAUUCUAAUUUUUAUUCCAGUCUUGGUUGGAAAUAGAAUCUCUGUAUUGAUUCAGGUAAAAACUGAACUUCACAGCAUGUUGGAGCAAAACAACCAGAUGAAAACUGUGAUGAUGUUGGAUUGUCAGACUGUAAUGUUGCAGCUCAAAGCAGCUUUUCUAUCUCAGUUCAUUCUGACAUUCAGCUAUGAAUCAACACAGCGGAUGGUGAUCCACGCUGUGGAAGUCUCACAUCUCCUGAUGUAAUGGAACUUCUGCAGAGUCCUGGUUCCAGAACAUGAUGAUAGAAUUAUAGACAAACUUUAACAAAAGCUGUCUGAGAGUUUACAGGUUUUUAUGUUAGAUUUCUUCAGUAUUUUAAUGAGAGUUAUCAGCAAAAAUCAAGGGUUAAUUUGAUGAACUUGAUUUCCUAAAACAUCCAGAAUUGGAGCUCAUAUCUUUGGCAGCUGUAAAGUUUCUGCUCCUUCAAAGUUCACAACACAAUGAAUUAAUUCCUAAAACACUCUCAAUGCUGGAGAGCGUUUGUGAUGCUGAAGCAGUGAUCAGUUUUUCUGUUUCUUCUCUGGAGAUGCACAAUGAGGGACGUCUGCAGAGACUGAGAAAGAGUCUCACCACAUCCUGACAUGAGGAAAAAGACUUUAUUGAAGACUACAAUGAGAAAAACUAUCAGAUAGCAGACGGCUGCAUUCAAGGUGAGCUCUGAACAUUUGAUCUGGAACAGGAAUUCAAUAACGGCAGCAUGAGCUUCAUUUCAGUCUGUAGCUGCUGAAUUCAUGGAUGAAUCAUCUGGCACUAGAGAAGAAGACCAUCAAACAUCCACGUCAGCUGAUGGAGGUCCAAGAGUCUCAUCUAACAACCAACCUACAGAGUGAAGACCUCGAAUCUGAUUGGACGGCCUCCUAUUCAGCCACUUUAGGCUGUUAGAUUGUUCCAGAUAAGACAAGUACAAGAUACUUCAGAGCCGUUCUACCACGAGCCUGACAGGAAGAACUCCAACAGCUACUGAAUGUUCCUGUGGUUCCUUCAAGGCUACAGGAGGAGCCCUAUGAGGACGAGCCGGUCCACCUGAUGGUGGCCAGUCGCUGCGGUUCAAAGCCAACACCGACUACGUGGACUUGUACUGGACCACAUGGAGGCCUUCAAACCGGACCCAACAAGUUCACCGACUCCCCGACUCGUGGGUCUGAGGACGCCGCCGAGCCUCGGUCCAGCCGGCCUCCUGUCUGUGGGUGUUUGAGUGCUGAGAGGGAUUACCACAGACCUGACCGUGAACACCGUUGACACCCACCUGAGGGAGACGCUGCCUGAGAUCUCAAGGCUGCUUGGUCGUGGUCUUUCUGGUCCUGCUCCAGAACGCCUUCAUCAACUACGUCUUCUUCUGAAGAGGCCCUCAGAUGCUGCAAUCUCUAACCUUAAGGAAGAACUGCUAAUUUCACUCUGUAACGAGACGGCGGUUAUUUUAAAGACCCAGCUCCUGGCGGCUUUGAGUGAAAAUAACUGGAGCCUUCAAUUGGCUCCUGCUGGUCAUACUACAACUCUUGGUUUGGUACUAAAUUAAAAAUCUGAAUUUUAAGGAAUUUUUUAGUAAAUAAAAUUCAAUCACUUCACCCUUAAACACUGCAGAAAAAAUAAACUCCAUACCACCAGCAAAAGGGUCCUACUGAUCAUACCUUCAGGUUUUUUCUUCCAAGUAUUGCCCGUACAGUCCUUAACUUGGAAAAUAUUAUUAGCUGUUUAACAUUAUGGUUUAAAUGAAUCAAUUAAUGCUGCAGCCUUGUAAGAAGGCGUCUUAUUGUCUUUCUUCCCAAUGGUCAGUACUUGAGACAGUCUAGUGUAGUUUGGUAUACUGGUGUUAUCUGAUCCUCUCUUUGGUGAGGAUUCCAAGUUCCAUUACUAUUCAGUAUCAUGUAUUUGGACAAACAGUUGCACUGUGGAUCUAAAAAUAUAGUACCACAUACAUCAAAAGAAGAGCCAUCAAAGCUAAUUUACUCAUAAUCCUUAAACUUCACACACAUGCAUGCACACUAAAUAGUGUGCACAACUUCAUAUGGCAACAUACAACCCAAAUAAAAUAAAAUUCAGUUGCUUUCGGUUAUUAAUGUACCACAAUCUACCAAAAAAAUGGAUGAGCACUUUUAUCUGUUAGAACAAAAAAUAUUUGAGAUAUAUAACAACAAUUUCAAUACUAAUAAAAAAAAUCCUUAAAAUCAUAAAAAGAUAAAUAUCAAAUCAAGAGUUGUAGUAUGAUUUUGGUGGCACUACAGUGUAUAAGAGUGAAGUUAUUGAAUUUUAUUACUAAUAAAAUAAUAAAUGAAAAUUUCUGAAAAUUCAGAUUUUGUGUUUAAUGUCAAACUAAGAGUUGUAGUAUGAUCAACAGGAGCCAAUUGAUGGCUCCAGUGAUUUUGGUGACACUACAGUACAUAAGAGUGAAGUGAAGUUAUUGAAUUUUCUUACUAAUAAAAUAAUAAGAAAAUAUUUUUUAAAAAUUGCUUAAAAUUAU
ensembl:lncRNA